rnacentral:lncRNA from 1 species
GUGUCGGUCAACGUCGUGGAGAAAAACGCGAAGAAACUCCUUCACAGCAUGCAGCGAGAGCUAGGGCACCGUGCGCCGAGUCUUCUUCCUGUCCAAGCCAAACUGCAGCAACUUGUAGAAGUUAGUUUCUCCUUCUUGUCUGUCUUUGUUUUGAGGCGUCUGGAGCAGUCGGGAAACUCUGGACAUCUCAGAGGAUUUCGGAGGCUUCCUUGUGUUGUCGGUUCAAAAGUCUCAGAAAAACGUCGAGCCCGCGUCUUCGGUUCAGUUGAGAGGAAGUCGCAGAAAUCAGGCGCUUUUCCGUAGAGGUCUUUGCAACACAGAACACAAGCUCCGAGCGCAACGGAAAUAUCUUUCUCCCGCGCCCACGGCUUCCUUAGGUACUGCACCCGCUGCGUUCGACUUCAUCGUUUCCUUUUCUUCGCAGCAACUCAUCGCAGGGUGUACAGAGCGCGAUGCAAAGGUACGGCAUUUGAUCCAGCUUCUUUGCGCAAACCAUGUAAGUUCGUCUCCUCGUUCUGCUGCUUCCCCUUCUCCGUCUCGACUUCCAAAUGCGAGGCUGUCUCGCACUCGCCAGGGUGACAGAGCGGCAGGAAAAUGAAAACUCGGUUUCACCCUCCUUCCUCGGAACCGCACGGCUGUUGCCUGGCAGGCGAGCCCCAGUAGCUCAGAAACGCGACAGGCCAAAGCGAAAGCGGGAGGCGAAGACAUGGAUGUCGUUACAAUCUUCGAGUGUAGCCAAGGAGCCAAGGGGCGCGAACGAAACAUGCCGAGCGCCAAGAAUCAGAGCGGCGACAAAAACUCGAGAAGCACGCAUGCUCAAAAAGUUGCAGACGCCCGACUAGAGCACGCACCUAUACAGUUGAACUGAUCAAGAAAGCACUCAGAGAGACAAAAGGCACCGAUACGUUGAGAAUUCUGAACGAAGGAACUACGCUUGGUUCUAACCGCACCCCCAGGAAUUAGAAUCCCGAGAGACGGAGGGACGCUUAAAACAGUUUCACAAUCGGAUCACUACAGAGGAAGCGCUGUUUUCCAUUCCGAACUUCGGAGUUUCCCUCAGGAACGUCUGCUGAUAGACCACAGUGAAGCGAAGCAGAGAGGCGUGGCGCCAUUUGCAGCGGAUCACGAAAUUCCUCAGGUUUACACGGGUAUUGGUUCGCUCUUGUAACUACUUACCGUAGUUCCGCCUAUUUCCCCAGAUGAGCGCUACUGGGGAGAGAAACGCGUUUCUGUGGUCGUUUCAAGCCUGCUGCCUGCAACCCCGUAUUCGAUACCUUGGUUUCUUGGAGGAUGCUACGUAAAUGAUGCAGCAUUAAAACGAUGCGUUGUCCCAGAUUCUAUCAUGCCUUUUAGAUGUUGGCUCGUCUGUCGGCUGGACGGAAGCAACUCAGUCGACCGACGAUCUGUCUCUCCUCGACGCCCGCGCUGGGAGAGAGGCAAGGACGAGAGAGAGCAGAGCGCGCGGAACAAGUCGCGGAGGGAAGCCGCGGAAGAAGCGGAGAGUCGAGCGAACGGAGACUUGGAUAGGAAGCAGGCAGAAGCUGUGUCUCGCGCGAUUCAGUCCCCACAUCCGCCUACGUGUACUCCACGCGCUUAGACGGGUGCUUCGCCUGCAGUCCUCGAGCGCGUCGAGAACAAUACGAACAGGACUUGAAAUUCAAAGGUCGCGUCGUCCCUCGAACGCGCGCUCGCGAGAUCCGCGAUGCAUGUGCAAAGGCCGAGAGAGAAGAAACUGUCCGGCGCCGAGAGAGGGAAAGAACGCUUCGUGAAAAGAAAGACCAAGAACAUGCAGACGUCUCUGGGACCCGCAAAAGACAAGAGACGCCCGAUUCUCGCGGACGAGACCAGACACCUUCGGUCUGUCCAGAGAGACGGAGACAGCGACGAAGUCCGACAGGUGAGGCAGCGGCGACAGCACACGAGCGAGAAGACAGUGCGUGGGUUCAGACAGAAUUUGUGUAUGACCAAGAGGAUGCAAACGGAUGCGGGAACUACUCGGCGCCGCUUCCCGGAAGCGACAAGGCAUUCCUAGACUCAUACAAACGAGAGGCGAGGCUCAGGUCCGCGUCGUCAAGGGACGAGGUCAGGAGAGAGGAGGAGACUCGCGUUCCCGACGAAGAGAGGGAGAGAGCAGAGAAGAAGGCGGUGCCACCAUCGACUCGGGAGUCCAGAUGUUGUCACAAAGACACAAGAGAGAAGGAGGGUCCCUGUCGCUCCGAGACAGGAAAACGCGCUUCUGCUCGCGCGCCGGAAGCCUUUCAUUUCCUCCGAAAUGGAGAAGGCGAUGCCGGGAAAGGUUCGGAAGAAGCGUCGAAGAACGCGGCUGUUUCCUCGUCGACUGCACCGCGCGAGAGAACGCAUUGCAUGCAAAAGACGACCCACCCGCCGGUCCAGUCUCAGCUGUGCUUCAUUCCGCGACGCUUAGGCAGCGCCAUAACAACGGCACGAGCCAUCCACGAACAGGGAGGAGAAAAACGAGGCGGCAGGUGCGAGGAGACUCUGGAGUCUCUAAAGCAAACGGAGAGAAGAAACCGGAGGACCACUGUUUUGAGGCAGACAGCCGGACCGAGAGCCGCGAGCCGCUCUGGACGCCGACCUUUCCUCUCUGACGAGAAGGCAAAGCACAGUCCGCAUCGAGGAAGGACGGAG